UUAACUGUGGCCAGCUGAUAUCAAUUUGUUCCUGUGGCAGCAUCACCCUAAGCAGCUGCCCUCACUCCCAGCUUGUCAGGUUCCUGUUAAUAUAUAAUCACUUCUGCCCUCAUCUGCUUUUUCAUAAGUGAGGGUAUGAGGUUGGUGGGGUUUCAUCUGGACUCCUGGUUUGCUGUCUGUGUGCCCGUGUGGUGGUUGACAGCAGCAUCAUGCCAUGCUUUUCUGACGAGUUGUAUGAGGCUGUUUUUUGCUGACGUGUUUGAGAGCUUUCAGGUGUUGCAAAGGCUGCUGCUGCCCAGGUGUGAAGCACUGCUCUGUGUUGGUGAGGGGGAGCACUGCCCCAGGUCUGGGGCUCCAGUUGGCUCACAGGAGCAUGCCAGGCUGACAGCAAGAAGGAUGGGAGGACAGAACUGAGGUACAAAAUAACAACAAAUUGAAGAAUUCUGCAAAUCUACACUGCAUAUCAAUGGACUUGUGAAAACAUCAACUUUAUUCACAUUUUGCUGACAAGUUGCUGUCAAAUGACUUUUCCUCUUUCUCUCUGCAGUCCUACAUUGCUGUAGAUGCUGUCCUGCAAGCAGGAGAACCUGUCCCUGAUGGCAGCACAAGAACUCUCUCGAGGGUAUAUUGUGGGUGGCUUGUUGUGCAACCACCACAAGCUGUCACAGGUGUUUCUGUGUGCCUUCUGCUGUUUUGUUUGUUCUUUUUCCUGCCCUGGUGAAGACCCCCACCUGUCCUGAUACUCUUUUGGCUUUGUUACAGCUCUCACCUGUGAAAUGCUCUGUUACUUUCAGCUCAGCCAUGACCUCCCAGCUCAGUUAAUCAGACUCUCAUUAGCUUUGGUCCCCCGCUGCUUUUUCCCACUCUGCUGCUUUAAUCCUGCUCUGAUCUGACAAGCAAGGCACAUGGAAACAGUGGCUAGGAUAUGCUCUGGAAAUAGUUCUGCCCUUUAAAGCCCUUGGUCGUGUUUUUCUCUUUGGUCCUGAAAUCUUUCCGUAGUGACCACUGUAACCUGGCACCAGAAGCCUUCCCACGGAAACCAUGGGUGCUUGCAUCCUCCACGACGUGUCCUGGGGACCCAGGGGAAAACCACAUUGUUUUGGCUGCAGUCAGGAUGCAGGGGGCUUGUUUUCUGCAAGGCAAACCCCUGCACGUGUGCCUGGAGCUCCUCAGCAGCCUUGCUGGCAGCUCCCAGGCCUUGGCUCCUGACAAACAUCAGCUCAGAGCAGAGACUGGGGCUGGCAGAUCAUCCCAGGUGGGCUGGCAGGCAGGACAGGGCUGGGUUAGAGCCCUCAAGGGAGCAGCCUGGCAAGGAGGGAGGGCUGAGUGCAGCACUGAAGAGAGGCUUAAACUUUACAGGCUUUUAGGAUUUUUCAGCUCUGAUAUUCAGUCAGAGAUGUGUGUUCAUUCAUUUGAUAUCUUAGAAGCUGUUGAGAAAAAGAAAUAUUAUAUGGAGUGCUGCUUUGCUUGAAAAAUAAGUAUUGAUGUAAGAGUGACAAAAUUGUUGUGGCAUCAGCUGACAUAUGCUAGUUAAAAAUCAAUUACGUGGAGAAUCCAGUGAUGAUGCCUCUGUGACAUGUGGCAUCCUGUUACUGCACAUUCAUUUUUUCCCAUGCUUUUGAGUUUUCAUUCUCUUCAGUAUCUGAUGUGUGAUGUAGGAGAGAAGGGGGAGAGAUGAAUAAAUCAGAAUAAUGAGCAGGAAAAUUUUCUCUACUUGCAGUUCAGAGUUUUGAACAGCCUUUUUGGUGAAACCCAGAAUGUAUGAGUGCUAGUUGUCAGCAAGGAACAGACAAUUGCAAAAUAUUCUUUCCACAGGAAGGGCCUUGCAGCCUGAGGCAAUAUUUCCACAGUUUUCCAAUGUCUCUGGUCACUUAUAACAGGUUUUCUCUGUUCUAUGCAGCUGUGGUCUGGCAUGCUGUAUGACAGGGAAAAUUUUCAGCUUAUGCUUUGCAGACACUGGAUUAUUAAAUAGUCCUGUGCAGACAGAAUAAUGGCUGCCUGUGGGGUUUUUCUGGUUUGGCUUUUUUUUUUUUUUUUGUCCUUCCCUGAGUUGGAACAAUUUAUUUCUCAAAGCAGCUCUGAGUGUCUUUGCCUUUGAUAAAUGCAGGAUUAUUCUGUCCUCUCUGGUGUGUGAAAACAUGCAAAGAGUCAUUCCACCUCCACUCUAGCACGCAGGGCAGGGUGGAAAGGCUCCUGGAUUUUGACUUCUGCAAAGAUUACAUAACUAAGUCCUCUAGCCCUUUUUUGUGCCUAUUUAUGCCUGGGACACUUACCUACUUUGCUGAUGUUCUGAAAAGCAGCCCUGCAGAAGCUGGGGCUCUUGUGCUGCAGGUAUGAAGAGCAAACAGCUGCUGCUUUCCUGUCCUGGUGCUGUGGGAGCAGGAGCAGUGCCCGGGCAGAACCCAGGUGCUGUGCUCAGAGCUGAUGCUGGCUGUGUGCACUGUGAGGUGCAGGCCUGGGACUGCUGCUUCUUAACUCUGAGAUUUUAUUUCACACCUGGAUGAACAGAGCUAACUCUCCUUGCCAGUGCUGCAGCCAGCAGAACACAGAUGGACACAGCCUGGUGGGGCCCAGGCUCAUAAAGGGCAGGUAUGAUUUGUACAACACUCCAGCCUGCACUGGCAGUGUUCUUGUGGGGUGUAACUGCAGCCUCAGAAAGUGCCUCAUCCUACCAAGAAUGCAGUAAUGCAGAAAUAACAGGUCUGUAUUGAUCCAUAAAAAGGGAGCUCACCUGCCAGCAGGCUGGGUUCAGCUUGUGCUUUGCCAUGGCAGGUAUUUGCUCCUGGUAUUUCCCUCCCUCAUGUCUGGUUCCUGGAUCCCACCUCAAAGUUGCACAGAUGUAAUAGUUCAAAAGACUUGUGUGGAAGAAAAAAUCCAAGGAAUUAAUAAGGUAGCAGGAAUUCCACUAAAUCUUUAUACUAAAAGUUUUCUUGGGAGUAACUCUCAUGCAUUCUUAAACUCACAGAACAUCCCUGGAUGUCACUGGGGCAAGUGUCUGUCUCUAGAGAUGUCUUGAGCCAUUUCCCCAGGCCCUGACCCUCUCCAAGGCCUUGUGUCUUUGCCAGCAGGUUUGGAUUUGUGAUGGAGGCUGCCCCUACCAUCCCUCUGUGGUGCCAUACUAAUAUACAGUGAAUGGCAAACACGUGCAUUAAUAGCACUGAAAAUUGAAAGCAAAACAUCCUGAAGGGUGUCCAGUUUCACCUGGUGCUGGAAAGGGAGUUUUUAAAUCAACAUCAGUGCUGCUUGUCUGGAGUGAAAAAAGAGCAAGUUAAUUAUUCCCUGCUUGACACAGAACUGGUUUUGCGUGAUUUGCAGAUUCUGAUCCUUGUCUCCUUAAUCAGCCUCUUUUCUCUCUCACCACCCACACAAAGCUUCUCUUUCUACCUACUCCUAGUUCCUGCGUGAUGGUACUCGUUAUUACCCCAUUCAUGGUGCCAGGCUCACAGCACUGACAUCAGCCUCCUGCCCAGCUGAUGGAGGCAGCCCUGGCCUGCUGGGCACCCGGGGAGAGCAUCCCAAAAUCCAGGGGCUGUCCUGACCUGCUGCAUGGCCACGGGCACUGACGGGCAGCAGGACCUGUCCUUCCAUCAGCACAGCAAUUCUGAGUGCUCUGCAGGCAGCACAGCUGUGUGCCCAUAGAGAGGCAGAAAAUAAAGGUGACUGACUUGCAGUCCAGAAGAUUCUGGUCAAACCUAACCCUGGAAAACCUGUCUGACUCCAAUGGAGACUUACUUUUGUGAAAAUUCUUUACAACACCUCAGUUGCUCCUCCGUGUGUUCAUACCUGGAGGAAUGUGUUGGUUUCUGCAUAAAUAUGCACAGGUACAGCAGCAAACAAAUUUCAAUAUGAGUAAGAUAAUAUUGAAUUAUAUGUAUAUGUGUAUACAUAUAUGUACACAUACAUAUAAGUAUAUGUGAAUUUUUGCUGAUGUUAUUUUUCAGCCAGGGGAUUAUACUACUGGCUGUGGCCUGGGUAACCCGGAAAAAAGCCCUUGCUGUGGAUUGCAAAAACUCAUUUUUCAUAAAGAAGCCAUAUCAGAGAUUUCUAAGAGAUAAUUCUACAGCUACUUUCUGUACUCAGAGCAGCUGAGUAAACCUGUUUUACCCACAAUAUAAAGCAGCUCAGCAAAUGCACCUCAUCUGGAAAACAGUUUUAAGAUGUGGGAUCAUGAGGCCAAAUUCCAGGAGCAGGAGUACUGAUGGUCUUGUAGCAGGACAUUUUGUUGGAAGAUCUGUCCCCACCUCUUUGCUUCCUGAAAAGAGAUGUGAUGCUUAUGGAUUAACAAUAAAGGAAAACCUUGUUCAGAUGCCCUGAAUUUUAGAAGAAACCCUUCAAAUUUGGAAGUCAGAUGGGAAGGGGGCUGAGGUGGGCAGUAAACACCCAAGCGAUGCUGUAGGAGUGCAGGUGUACAAUCUGCUGCUGCUCUUGGCCCUGAAGAGCCAAGGCUGGAUGGGGGAGAUGUUUCAGUGUGAAAAAAGAUUAGGUUAUGCUGACUGUGGGGUGAAGCAAAGUCUUGACUCAGAUUUAUCUGGUUGGAGACUGUGCCAGCUGGCCCCAUCUCCUAAGCUGGGUCCCCAGCUAGCUUUGUAUACCCGCUUGGUGGUCUCAAAAAGCAUCCACCCUCAGAGAUGAUAAACCCUCAGCUCCUAUUGGCUUUAAACGUGGUUGUUUUGAGGUGUUUUUUUUACUGCUUGGUACACUGACUCAUAUUUCAAGUAUUAUUAGCAUGUACUUAAAGGGUAUUUUCUAGAUUCUGCUUUUAAGAUCUGUCCCACUGAACCAGUAUGAUCCUGUUGUGUUAUUUAAAGUCAACUGGUAGAAAAGUUUUUGCAUGUGCUCAUGAUGUCCUUGGUUUUGCUUUGUGUUUCUGGGAGGAGGUAAAUCAGGAAGCUUUGGUGAUUCAACUCAAAGCUGUUUCUGUACCUGUUCCCUUCUCAUGUGGAUGACAGACUAGAAUCAAGGUGUACUGAUUAUGCCAAGGAAUUGCUGCUCCAGACAAAAAUUAAAAAGAGAAUUGGGGUUAAAACUUGAAGUUGUUAAUGUGAAUUUACAUAUGAAAACUCAUUUUUAAUAACUUUCCACAUCACAUCAAUCAUUUUUAAUAACUUUCCACAUCAAAAUUUUUCACUGGAGAAAUAGGUCACUUGAAAAAAUCACCUAUUUGAAUAUUUUUCUGGUUCUCCAGGAGGCUUGCUGUUUUGACACUGUGCAAAUAUUUCAAUGUUAAUUCAGCUGGCACUGCAGUGAGUUAUAACCAUUGUUGAAGUAUGUGCACAAGAAGGGAAAUAGAAGAAAAAGGAUGCUUUGAGAUAUGCAAUUCUGUGAACACAAUUACUAGGGGAGACAUGAAUAUAAAACUAAGCUUCUCUAUUAAAGUGAGUGUUUAUAAUUUCUCAAGAUUGUUCUUUUACCAGAGAGAACAAACAUGUAUCAUUUUGCUACCCAGAUGUUUCCAGAGGUCUCUGUUGAGGUCAUUCCUGCUGAGUGCAAGGCAGGUGCUGCAGGGAAUUAAUGGGCAGCAGAACAGAGAAAUGCUGGGGUGCUUGCAGGGGAGGGUGAUGACCCAGGACAAAGCCUUGCUCUGCCCCAAAUGCUGCACGUGCAUCUCCCUGCUGGCUCCUGAAAAGAACAGCAAAUUAUUCCCUUCUGAGAAGUGUUUAUGUAAUUGCUACUCUAAGUGAAAGUGAUCUCAUCAUGGAUUUAGAACCAAAAUUGUAAUUUCCAGUUUCCCCCUGCCCUAGCCUUCUGUGAGAAAAGUCCAGGCCUGUCUGGGGAGCAGGGGACCAGACUGCUUUGGUUUCUGUCUGUUGCUGCAAUAAUGCUCAUCUUCCCCUCCUCCAAUCCUGUCCCCAGGGUGUCCAGAUGGAGCAGGUGGGACCCUCCAACCCUUGACAGGCAACAACAAGUACACUGCAGAAAUGCAGUCAGAGUGUAUUUUUUCCCCUGUAGAAGCCUUUUGGCAUGAGCACCCCUCUGCCUUUGAAUCCAAGGACUGCUCCUGCAGGGUGGGUGCUGCUCUGCAGUAAGGGAUGGGACAGGGGUGUCCUGGAUGUCCAGCUAUCACUUUCCCAACACUGGUUGUAGUGUCCCUGUUGGGUUCUUCUGGUCCCUCCUGCAACCUUUCCAAAAUUGUUACUUGGCAGUUUCACUGUGACUGUGAAGGAUGGAGACAGCUAGCCUGCAGGAACUGGGGCACUACCAAGAAGAUUUGGGAGGUAGAAAAGUUGUUCCACAUUGCUGGGUUUAUAGACUGUGAACAGCAUUCAUUUAUGGAUUUCACUGUGAAUUCAUUCUUUUACCUGGGAGAGCUGAAGCUGAGUGGUACCAUGGGCAUGGAGAGCUCUGGCAGCUGCAGGGAGCUUUGGGGGACACAGCCUGGGGCUGCUGCUUGAACUGAAGGGCUUGGAGACCUGGCAUAACUGAGGGUCAAGUCCCACAGGCACAUACGGGUGGUGACCAGAGCUUCCUCUGCUGAGCUGCCCCACUGGCAAAAUAUCAAAAUGUCCUGGUGCUCAGACCCUGGGGUUAAUCUCUCACAGCUUCAUGGGCUGAAUGCAGCCUCUCCAUUUAUGUCCUGUGCCAUCAAGAGCUGAGGAAACCUGGUGUGGGCAGCCCCAGGGUGGGCUGGGGAAAGCUCAGCUCUCCUUCCUGAGCCUGGUAGGGGUGCCAGUAUUGCUACCCAGGCUUGCUGAGCUGCAGACACUGGGAACUCAUCAUUGUAGGAGCAGUGCAAGAGCUCUUUGCUACCUUGACAAAAACCACACUGGCUGAGCAGUACUUGGUGUCCUUGUAGCUGUCUAACAGAGCAGAUUUUUUUCGUUGUUAUUACUAGCAGUGAAUUAUAGUGUUCAGCCUCUGAAAGGACUAGUGCUGGUGGAGCAAAGACCCAAGGGGUUAGUGCUCCUGCUCUCACUGUGGCACUGCUGGGAUGGCUGUAGGACCAUGUGGGGACACCCAGCAAGGCCCUGCUUAGAUCAAAUCCCUUUCUGAAUAUUGGUUUUUGUAGAACUGUGCUUUUCUGCUCAGUCUGUAAUUCUGAAUUGCAAAGGCACAGUCGUGACUGACUACACUUCUAAAUAUUGUGAUAGCACAAGUAUUUUCUGCUGCUGGCCUGACACAAAGCACUGCACCACUAGCAGGCAGCAGCAGCUUAAAAUGAGCUCUGCAGACUCUCAGGGACAAGGUGAUGGCUCCAAAGGGGAUAUAGCUUUAGGAUGAGGGCUGGACAGUCUCUAUGAUAACCUCAUUAGUUAAAUAGUGAUGGGGAAGGGGCUGGUGAAUAUCUGCAGCAAGCUGUGAAGGGAAAGGACUGGGUGGGUAAAUGUGUUGGGAAGUCUGGUCUCUGAAGGAGAUGCAGAGACCUCUGCACAGUUCCCACAGUUGUUUCAAACCAAGGAUUUUUAAUUUUCUGGCUGUGCAAUUAGCCUUGCUGUGAAGCCUCAGCAAUAGAUGUUUUACCAUGUCCCUUGGGAACACUAGUUCAUUAGUUAAUUAGUUUACAAUUUUAAUUAAAAUUGUGCUGCCUAAUUUCUUUGAACUGUACUGACUUCAGUGGCCUGGUGCCAUUAUCUCACAGAACAGAAGGACACACCUGAUGCUGGCUGGCUCUCACCACUGCUGUGUGCAGUCCCUAAGGAAAACCAGGAGGUCUAGGCACUUUUAGUGCUUGCAGGCACGUGGUGUUUCUGGGAACAUUUCCCUGAUGCUCAUUUCACCUGCUGCACCCAGCCAAGGCACCUUUGGGUCCCAAUGCUUUUCCCAGCUUGCAGAGCUCUGGGCACAUCUCCAGUGAUGAGGAGACAGGGUAGAGAUGCAGAAUGACAGGCUGGGUUUGUUAAAUAUCACUGCAUGUUGCUGGCUGUGGAGAUGGCAGAGAAAAAGGACAUAUGGGUAAAAUCUCCUCUACACCUGAGCUGGUGGUGCCUGGCUGGUACUCAGGCACAGCCUUUGCUGGAGAUUAACAGGGCAGAGAUGUAUUAAGUGCUCUGCAGAGCCUGAACAAUGUAAUUACCCUCCAAGUGAGGCAAGAAUUUGUGCCAAGAGAUUUUUAUCUUCCAUGAAUGAGCUGGAGGGUGAAGGGCUCCUGGCUUUUAUGAAAGGCAGGAAACUCCAACUCUCCAACUACUGUUUUAUGAGCCAAGAGAUUUGACCACCAUGAAGCAAUGUCUGUGUCAUUAACUUGGCCAGACAGCCAGAAUAUGUCAGGACAAGGGUGGUGACUAAUGCUGCUAGAAAUGCUCCUGAGUUACCCGUGAGCUGCUGCUCCUGGAGCACCUGCUGUCACCAAGGGGUCUGUCCUGGAGCACCGGGGCACCUCUGCCAGCUCCCAGCUCUCCCUGGCACUGCUGCAGGUACUGUGGCCAUACAAGCACCUUGGCACAGUCUGAAGUGGAGCUCCAGAGGAGGAGAGAAGCAGGCAGCAAGAGAGGAGUGGUGUUUCUGGGCAGCAGGAGGACUUUGUUGGUGUGGGUGUCUUUAACUGAGCCCAUUAUCGUGCCCUGUCUGCUGCUCCUCACAAGUGAAUCCCUUUUGGUCUGGAAACGAGUUUGGCUUCUUGCCCUGCUGUCCCAGUGCUGGGAGGGCUGCUCUGCACCCCAGCCAGCCUGGCUGCUGCUGCUCCUGGUGGCUGAACUGUUUCCUCUCUGGUGUGUUCUACAGAGGAAUGAGGUCUCUCCCGUUGUGUUUUGCAGACCCAUCCAGCCAUUUAGUCCUUGCUAGAGCAGGCUGGUUUCCUGCUGCUGUGCUCUUUCAUGUCUGUUGAAAGUAAUCCAGCUCUCCUGAAUGUGAGCAGCAAGAGCAAACUUCCCUUGUGCCAGAGAGACAAACCACAUAUCAGACUUGACAGCAGACCCUUAUGGACCCAUGACAGUGAUUCCUCUUCAGGCUCAUCCUGCCUCUCUCAACACUUGUUUCUGUUUCCUCCCUUGUAGCCAGUUCCUUUUUGUUCCUUGUCUUUUAGCAGAAGCAUCUUCAGAUUGUUAAUCCUCCUUUGAUGGCAUGUCAGCUGCUUCUCUGAAGUCCAAAGGGAUGAGCUCCAAGUCUUCAUUUGACUUUCAAAGGAAGAAAGAACAAAGUCUGACAAAAUUCCUCUUUGCAAAGUCCACAUUUAUUGUUACUGUGUUCUUCAUUAUCUUGUAUUAUUUCAAAAUUUGUUUUAAAAUCUGAUUUUCUACUGCAUUUAAACUACCAAGCCUCAACCUUUCCUUAUCACUUCUCCCUUCUUAAGAUCAGACAUUGUUUUGCAUUUCCCUAACUGCAUCCCAAUGUCCCAGAUGUGCUCAAACCCUGCUAUUUCUGCAGCCUCUUAUGUCCGUCCACUUCAGUAAGCAAAACUAUGGUUUUUCCCCCUGAAAAUGGGAUGACAAAUGGUGAAUUAAUGUUUAUCACAUUAUCCAUCUUGCUUUUAACAUCAUAUUCAAGAUUAUUGGUUCUAUAUUGAAAAGUAAGGCAAAGAGUUAACUUGGCUUGGGGCCGUCCUGAGAUUAGCAUUUACCCCAUUUUCUCUGUAAAAGACCCUCCCUUCUCCUUCCUUUGAUCUACAUUUUCUCACGUAGCUGACUAAACUUGCCUGUUUGUGUAUUACCUGCUGUGAGGUGUCCUUUGGUCUGAGGAUUGCCGGAGGUUGUAGCCAGAUGCUUUUGACCUGCCCUGUGUAAUGGUGCCUCUGCUCAUUCCCUGUUCCAUUCCAUUGCGGAUUUCUGCAUGCUCCAACUGCUCUUCUAAGGCGGUUAAGUGUGCCUUUGGCAGCUGUGCUGCUUCAGACCCUUUACCUCUUUUGCAUGAGAUACAAGUACCACAGCAGCUUAAUAGCUGUUCUUCCACUUUUGGUCUUGAAUUCCUCAGCUUAGCUGAUCUCUCUUUUCCUAGAGAUGAUCAGUUUGGCUUUUGGACUUGGGAAUUUGGGACCAUGUUUCUUAGAGGUUUGUUGUAAGUUAGUAUGUGCUCAAUUGAUAAUAAUUUUUUGUUAUCCAGAGUCUUGUCACGAGCUCUGCCUGUAUGGGCUGGAGCACACACCACCACGUGUAUCUCUGAAGGGUUCCAUGUGUCCCGUGGCACUGCAGUCUCCUGUCUCUGUGUUUCUCUGCACUCCCCUCACUCUGUAUUCAUCCUCCCUUUGUCUCUGCUUCAGAGGCAGAUAAAUCUCUGCUCUCCUGUUCACUGGCUGGUGAGUGCUGAAGUCCUUGGCUCUCCUGCCUCCAUCAGCCCUGCCCCUUCAGUCAGGGCUCAGCAGUUCAUGGUCCACCAGCUGGGAGUGCAGCUGAAAGGGGAAAAGGGCUAUUCAUGUGGAUCAGGUGAUGGGGCACUCCCACAAAGCCUGCCUGCAGGACAAGGCGCUUUUGGGGCUUGCCAAGAUGCCUCUAAGGAUGCAAGAACCACCUCCUGUGCAAUUCCUUCCCUUAAGGAGGGAAUUCAAACCUCCCCUCACAGCCAUGUGGUGCCUGUGACUGUGGGCACAGUGCAACCUUCGUGGCUGCUGUGCCCUCGGGGGAGCUGGCAGCGAGGAUCACAGCUGGUUUUAGCCUCCUCUCUGUCAGCUUUAGCCAAAAAUUAAUAGCACUCCAGCUACCUCGAACCUGGACAGCCAAAGUCUUAAAGUCUUCCCCUGUUGCAGUUUGCAGAUAUUCAUGUUCUGGUUAAUAACAUAAUUGAGAUGUUUCCAGUGAUUUAAAAGACUUCUGACUAAGCUCUUGGCACAAAGAGGAAAAAGUGAAAGCCAGAGUCAGGGGGAAUCAAGAAUUCAACAGAAGCCUUUGAACAGCUUUUGAUUUACAUACGAAUAACACUGAUCUGCAAAGGGAAUUGUGUCCAGUCAUCCCCAACAGAGGCGCCAGGCAGGAGCUGGUUCCAUGCUGGGAGUCUUCCCCAGUUCCUACUAGGAUUAUUCUCUCCACCACGCUUUUGUGACUGUGCACUUCUGCCUACUCACCCAGGAUCUCACACAGAUAUGGAUUCCCUUGAUCUCAGGGGCAGUGAACCACAGAGUCCAGAGUGACUGUGUGUGGAGCAGGGAUGGAUGCAGAGUCCUGGAGGUGUCACAUGCUGAGCAGGAGCAGAGGCAGAGGCAAGGUGUUCAAGUGCCUCAAUGCCUGUGCUGGGACAUCUGCUCUGCUGCCAGGCAGUGCCUCUGGGCUGGGUGCUGACCCUGUGGCUUGUGUCAGCUCUUUGCAUGGCUUCUUGUCAGUUCUGCUGCCUCAGGUGCUGGAGAAGAAGGAUUCUGUGGCUUUUUGCUUAGAGGAGGCACUCGAGCGUAACGUGCAGCCCAUAAACUGCUUAGGAGCCUCUAAGCUUUACUUACCGUUCCUUCUGGGGUAACCAGCGUCAUGUGAAAAUCUGACUAAUGCUUUUUAAAAUGCAGUAGAUUAAAGGUGAAUAUGUUGUUUUGGAUUUGGCAUUGGAAUGACAGCAUUUCUCUUUGCUGUUCACAUACAGCUUGUCAGGGAUGAUGAACACUUCCUCUUCCUGACUCUGCCAGUCAUCCCUGACUGUGACAACAGCAGUUCAGUGAUUUCAUCCCUGCCCUUUUUGCACACACCCAUAAAACACACCUGCAUGCUGUUGCCCCAGCUUCAUGUGAGACUAUAGUAGCAAGUCAAACUUUGAAUUUUUAUAUCUAGAUGUUCUGGCUUUUUAUUUUAUUUUAUUUUUUUUUCUGAAUGUCAGCCUGAAGAGGUUGAUGAUCCAUCCCUAUGGGGAUUCUGCAGCUGCACACCUUCACUCCCAGCUGCAGUAAUGUUAGCAAUGACUGUAACUGAGGCUGAAAGUGUACUUUAAUUCCCACUGGAGCUGUGCAAGCCUUGUUUGUAUCUGAGUGUCACUCCAGAUCCCUCUGAUUGUGUAGAAGGAAGUGCUUUCAGAAUACAACAGGACCCUUCCUACUCCCUUGGCUUCUUUCCUUUCUGGUCACUGCUCCCUGUGUUUUACACCUUCAAAGCUUCUUUUCCAAUUGCUCCAAAACAUUUUCAGUACCAAUAGCUUUUAACUGAACAAGACUUUGAUUUGGGAUUUCUUGCUUUGGUUGCAGGGAAAAGAGGGGAGGUAUUUUUACUUAUGAACACCCUGCUCUCUGUGCCUGCAGUGUUCUGCAGGACACCUCAUUCCUGUCUUGCUGGAGCUGGUUUAGACCAACCUUACAUUCACAGCAAUUUAUAUUUAAUCUGCUGUCCAGAUCUAGUGCUUCUGAGCCACUUCAGUCCACGCACCUCCUUCUCCUUCCUAUUUUGGGCUCCUGGGUGCUUUGACGCUUCUUCUGUGUAGCUCAGCCUUCCGAGCUUCAGCUUAUGUGAAAUCCCCAAGACAGCCAGCUUAUGUCACCAUCAUCCAUCAGGGACAGUCACAAAGAAAUCUGCAGAUCAGUAGAGCUGCUCUUGCUCACAUUCCUCUGGAAAGGGACAAUGUAAGUUUAGGGAGGAGGGAGGCAUGCUGCAGAGCUGCAUACGUGACGUUAUGACAUCUGAAUCAUAGAAUGUAAAACUCAUUUGCUGCAAACCCCACCUUUGAGUAUAUGAGUGUUAUAUAAAGCAAUCAUUUAAUGUGGUGUUAGAAUAAAGAACUGUCAGCCAUCCUGUACAGAUGUGAUGGUUCUUCUCACAGCAAUAGGAAAUGUCUGUUCACAAGAUGAGGUGAAAGAGAACUUGUCGAGCUUGCCUGAGCAAAUGCCAGGGUGUCCAAACCCACAGACAAUGUAUGUCUCCUGCCCUGCUUUGGUGCAGCCUGGAUUUAUCCUAUUCCCCUUUUUUGUCCUUCUGGCAGAGCUACUGAAGGCUCUAAGUCAGGAGUUGCAGCUCUUCCUCUUGCUCUGACAGAAUUUUAAAGGGUGUCACCUGAAAGGCUGUUUUGCAUAAAGCUUGAAACAUUUGUCCAGCCACAAAUGAACUAUCCCUGCCCUGGAGAAAACCCAGGGCACUGUGUCCAGAUCGUGGUCAUGCAUUCAAUGGAGCCUGGUGAGUGGCUCUGCUGCUGGCCUUGCUCAAGUCACUUUGUCACUCAGGUCACUUCUCCCCUGCUCCUUGCCCUGUCAAAAUACAGGGACAGGACUGCUCCUGCAGUACAGAUGAGAGACAUCCCAGAGGUUCAGCUGCACCACGGGCUCCUUGGCAGGUGCCAAGAGCAGGGCACAGUGCAGCAGCUCCUCUGCCUGCCCAGGGCAGCAGGGACCUGGCCUUUGUGAGAGCAAGCUGCCACUGCAGAUCUGAUGGAGUGUAACACCUCCUGUUACUAAUCAAGAGCUGCUGUUAUCUGUCUCUCCAACCCUCCUGGCCCUUUCCAGGUGUGCAUCCUAUUUGUUUCUUACACAGCUCCAUUCCAUGCUGUUCAGUAAUGUGAGAAUUUUGUGCUUGAGGAGCUGGAUGCAGCACUGCUCUCUUAGAUGGCUGUUGUCCUGUGUUGCAAAUUAACAAGAUUGCACUGGGUUUGUAAUCAACAGCAAUUAACUUGCCACAGAGGUUGCAAGGGAAAUCUUUUGCCCGCAUCACAGGCUCCUCUGAUCUUUUUCACAGCACCCAAAGCCAUAGUACCAGUGUCUUGCAGACACACAGAGCACUUUUCUGUCCAGCAGCAGGGCUUGGGGUGUCUGCAGGGCUCUGUCCCCCAAGCCCAAGUCACCACUGGGAGUGCAGAAGACAGCCCAGGGCUAUUGGUGUCCCACAGACACCUGCUCUGUGUCCUGCCAUCCCUGCAAGUGUGACCCCUGUGCCAGCCUGACCAGCUGCAAGGGGGGUGCCUCCUGGACUGCUCCCAGCAGAACGAGGUGCAGGCCAGCCUGAACUCCCCACAGAUCCCCCAGGGAGGAUCACAGCAUGCCCACUGCCUUUCUACCCCAGCCUGGCAUUUCUCUCACUUUUCCUCAUGAUGGAAAGAGCACCUAGAGCACCUGAGCUCCCAUCCAGGGACCUGCUAAAUUUCAGUUGAAAUUUUCUCUUAAAAAGAUCCAACAUCCCUUCUGACCCCCUACUUCUGCCCUUCGUGGGCUGUGCUGCUGUAGUGAAACCCCUCCAGCAGAUCCACAUUGCACUGGGGAGGUCUCUGGCCCCUGGGAUGAGGUAGCAUGCCAGGCUGCUGCUUAGGAAAUGUGCCACCCCUGAGCAGAGCUCAGUGCUCUGCCCUUGCAGUGCAGGCAGGGAUCCAGCUGACCAGAUAAUUGCAGUAUCAGUGAGGUAGAAUUAGAUUACAUUUAUUUCAUGAUCAGUUUUGUUCAAGCUCUUACACAGACUUCUUUACUAUGUUAAAUUCAAAUUAAUUAAUUGCUUAUUCUGGGAAAAGAUUAACAUCUAAAAGCUACAUAAGACUUUCAGUGCUUGUCUAUUUAGUAGUGCUUGACUUGCUUCUACAAGGCUUGAUCUUGCCGAGUCAAGAAUGAAACAUAAAGUGCAUUCACUACAAGUGAACUGGAUGUAGCACCUGAGUUUGUACUCACUUCACACACUGCUGGUAAUUGCCUGCUUUGUUUUUGCUGGUGUGCCUGAAGUGUCCUGGAUAUAAACUGGCUCAGAUGGUGGAUGACAAGGACAUCUGUGAUGUGCCAGAGAACGGCAGCCAGGAGGCAGUUCCUUCUGGGACAGGGCAAGGGGUAAUACAUGACAUAAUAUCUCUUUCCCACAGCAGAAGUGCUUCUGCCAGUGAGUAUUUCCCUCAUCCCUCCCUGCCCACUGCUGGGAGACAGGUCAUAUCUAAGCAUAUCUAGCAGAUUUCUCAAAUGUGAGAAGAUGUCUCCAUUUUUACCUUAAUUGUCCUGAAAUUUCAAGGUCUUAAGGUGUCAUAGUUAGUUGUCCAGGUAGCUGGAAGAGAGACCCUCUAAUCCAUGUUCUCUACAUCCAAUAACUAGGGAUGGAGCAGCAAUGCUCUGAAAGACUCCUGCCAAUGCAGUAUCAGCAAUGUAUCUCAAAGCAGAGAAUGCUGCUCCUGCAGAGGCCAACAGGAUAUAGUGGAUAGGCACCUAAUCAGCCCCUGAACAUGGGGCUCACUUCUCAGUGUCUGUACUUUUUGAACAGCUUCUGGAAGUAGAUUUUCAUGGUUGAUCACAGUUUCUCUAGCCUGUUCUUCCUCUGCUGUCUUCCUGCCUGUUCCCAUAUCAGCACAGAUAUUCUGACAGCCCAGAGACUGGUGUUUUAUUUCUGUCCUUCCAGUUUUCCCACGUAUUAUUAGAUGAAGAUGGUUGUCUCUGUCUCACUUCACUGAAGUGGCUCUAACGUAAAAGCAGCACUCACCUCCUCUACACAUGUUUGCCAGGAUAAUUCUCACCCCCAGAACAGAGUAUAACUUUAUGCUAUCUGUGUUUCCUCCACUUUGGUGAGAAGAGGUUUUCCACUUGGAAAGCCACAGAGAUGGACAAGCCCUGGGUCAAAUGCCACAGACUGAUUUUCUCUUUAAGCACAGAUCUCAAAAUGCAGUUUGCAUCCCACUACACAGGCUUUCCCCAGGCUUUUCGUGCUUCCAGGUAGAACAGGCCCCAUUUUUUGUGGAGUUUUCUUUGGAGAGGGACUCCAAGGACCUGUGCUGUGCAGAGAAGGUGUGACCCCAGCUCUGCAGCAGAUCAGGUUUGCUGUGAGCAUAAGUAAGGAUGUCCCUUCACCUGGCACUCAAUACCAUUAGAUCCAAAGCAGGAUGCAAGCCCCUUGUCCCCAGGUACCUUUGGCUGACAAAAUAAACAUGAAUUCAUUCUGGUUUUCUCACCUCUCUCCUGCUCAUGUCAGAGGUGAGACUGAAGCUGUAUGAGCAAAUGCACUGUGUCCACCAGAUUCUGUGUUGCACUGAUACUGACUGUUAAGUAAAAAUAGUCUCCUUUUGAAUGUCAUAACAGUAGCUGCUAUUUAACCCCUCCUUUUCAGUUUAUUUUUGGGCUCCAGAAUGGGGGAAGAAUUUGUUGUAGGAAGGAUAUUGGGAAAAAUAUCCACUCUUUUUCUUCAAUUCUCUUUUGCCUUGCUGGAAAUGAACGACAGGCUUCAGCUGUCAAUAUGACACACACACACACACUCAGACACACUUUUGCACAAUCACUCGCUCAGACACACUCACUCUUACACUCACUCUCACACUUUUGGUUGUCAAGGGUCUGCCCUGUUCAUAUUCCUUGUAUGUAUGUAAAGCCACAAAAUCCACAAAGUCUCUGUUUUGCCUCCUCGUUCCUCUCCCCUGAAGGAAAACAACCUUAUAAAUUCCUGUGGCUCUUGGGAGAGGUGGGAGGUGGGCACUGACUUCCCUGGUGGUGGAGCUGCUUUUCAUGCUUGCCUCAUCCUCAGCAGAGAGUGGGGCUGUGCUGUGUAGUGCCAGGAGGGACAACUGCAGCAUGUCCCUUCUUGGGCUGGAGGAGUUCACCUGAAUACUUCACUGCAGUAUUUCACAGCACACUUAGACACAGCUAAGCAGGUACAGUUCCUUUGGCUCUGUGGGGUAGGUAUCUUGCUCUGGUUCCAAGCUCGGCUGUGUAUUUUUAAACAUUAUUAGAGUUCAGAUGAAAUUGCUUCCAGCUGCUUUUACAAAGCCUAAGUAUUGCCAGGGUCCCAUAUAACGUUCCUUUCCUGCCAGAUUGUGGCCUCCUAUAGAGAGGUCUUCAAAGACCAGUUUCAACAAAAUCAAAUUAUUUUGGAAUAUAAUUGCCUCUCACCCCCUUAAAUUUCAUUGUGUUCUAAAGAGUUUCCUGUAAACAGAUCCCACUCUUUAAAGGAGCCAUGCUAUUCUGCACUGCUGGUGGGAGCCAGCCCUCACCAGGCUCCCCAGCAUUAGCAAUUCUUGGACAGACAGUGCCUAAGUAACUAGCUAUGUGAUAAAACAUCACAUUUUUUUCUCCCCAGCACUGCUUGUGCUGAUAUUCAGCUCCUGCAGGAAACCAUAUGGCUUCCAGAGUCCUACCCACAUACCUGGACGUGCCCACGCACUCCAUGAGUCACAUUCACUGUUUGGAUGCCCCUUGAGUCAUCUGAAAAUCUGUGAAAUUUCCACAUCUAUUCCCCAUGCAAUCUCUUAAGAACUUUAGACAGUUAUGUAUGAGGAUUUACAUAUGUAUCUUUUUUUCUGUUCUGUUUUUAGUUUCAUGGGUGGUAAUACACUGACACUUCUUAUUUUGAAGGAAAUUGAAUCUUGAUGAGAGCAGAGCACUGGCUGCAGCUUCUGGGGAUGGAAUUAAACUGAAAAAGUGAGACCCUUUUGAAAGAAGGGCUUUAGGAGCAGAAAGUCCAACUCACUUGGGCUUCCAUCCUUUCUUCCUGCUCUGACAGGGCCACACCUGAUCACUGCUGACCUUGGUGUGUUUCUGUGUCCAAAGGCAGCUGCAGUGCUGCCUUCAGUGGGAUGUGAGUACUUUGGGGGGCCCUGACAAGACUUUGCAGCACUGAGGAGUGGCACAGAUGGAGCACCCUUGGGUCACUCAGAGGGUUCUGGGGACUGACCCAGGGCAGCAGGGCUCAGGGUAGAUACCUGCCUUCAUGCUCCUUCAUCUCCUCAGCUGCAGGGACUCCAGCCUCAGACAAGGCUAUCUGCCCUUUUUCAGUCUCAUGACAAGAUAAUUUUGCUGCCUCAGGACAGCACAGGUGAUGUGUAAACUUUGCCUGUUGCUUUUGCUGACAAAAGUAGAGAAAAGAGUUUGUUGUCUUUCCUCUAUGAUGGGCCAGCACUGAAGAUGCAUUAUAGCCCAAAUUAAAAACAGCAGCCCCAAGGUUUGCUGCAGCAGCCUGGAAUGAUGUAACCAGCCUGCCAGAAACAGCUACUUUUGCAGCUGUGGCCCAAAUGCAGGCAGUGUUGGGUGUUUAACAGAAUAAUCUCACAAGCAGUUGAAGGGGAAGGAAUGUGUAGAUUGACUGUUCUGCCAUGGAGUGUGUGAGCUGACUGUUUGCACUAAAAACAUCUAUGUCUCCUCAUAAGCAUUCUGCAACCAAGCGGUGAUUCUGUGGCCUUAUAGAGCCAGAAAAACUGCCAGAGGUACAUAUGAGUGUGUUGUACAGCUGGAAACAGCAGCAUGAAUUUGUACAGAACUUCUUGUUGUAAUUUAGCUUAGUAAAAUUGCCAGUAAUGUUCAUUAGAGCAAACAAUCAGGCUGCUUCACCCUCUAUGAGAGAGUGUGCUGCUUUACUCACCCACCCCAAAAUGCUGCUCAGUACAGGCAGGGAUGUUCCUGUUUCUGUACUCCUGAGAAGCAUGUGUGACCUGGAAAGCUGCAAACAAAAGCGCUGCUAAUUUAUACUCCUCCCACCCUUCAUUCUGACUGAUACUAUUAAAAAAAUUCACUCUGUGGAAUAAUAAAAGAACCCCAUGAUAUUUUCAAAAUGUGAUAGUAAACCUGGAUAACUUGCUAUAUAGUGUUUAGUCAAACAACAUUGGUAAAAUAUGAGUUUUAAUGCUAUUUCAGUGAGCUACAAGGCAUAUAUACUGGUAUAUAAUGCAUGCAGCAUGUACACAUAUACACGUGUGCAUGCAUGCAAAAUGUAGGAGCUGUGUUCCAUAGAUAUAGGUCAGGAAUGUGAAGAGCAGAGCUAAAGGAACAUGAGAGGACAGGAGAGCUUCAAAACAAGGCUUCACUGAAAAAACUGCCUCGGUGUGAGGGUUCUGGGGUGGUGAACCCCUGGCACAGCUCUGCUGCACAUGGAAACUCACCACUGAAUAGGCAGCUGCUUGAAAUACUGGCAGCAGUGUGCUAGCUAAUAAGAGGAGGAAUAAGUUGAAUAAGUAGAGAUAAAAUUUCCUAUCUGAAUGUAUGCUUUUGCACAAGCAACAGAAAUGAGCUGCGUGGUUGUUUUUAGGAAGGUUUGCUCUGCAAGGGCUGCUGGAGGGAUCGGUAAAACAGAUCUAAGCCCGUGUAAUGUACUCCUCAGUGAGAACAAGAAAGUCUCGAGGUUGUUUCUGGCAGAGUCUGUUCCUGCUUAGAGCAAAAGGAAUGCUCUGGUGGAUGCCUGUGUCCCAGGAAGCUCUGGCAUUCCCAAGGGCCCUGCUGCCCUGUCAGCCCCAGCACAUCUCAGUACCUGCAGCCCUGCCCCAGCUGUUCCCGUGCCUCAGGGGCACUUCUGAAGCCGCCUCUUGCUCAGCCGGAGAGCUUAACUGAUCUUGGCUAUUUAGGGGAGCUUGGUCUCCAGCUGAGCCUCUCAGUAACUCCUAGGGAAUGGUGGUGUCUCCUUACAGUUUUCCAGGAUGAAGAGGCCACCAGGAGCAGCGAGCUUGAGAUAGAAAUGAUAAGGCUGGGUGCUCUGGAUCCCUGCUGGCUUGUGCUGCUCCAUCUACAGACUAGCAGGGACUCAUUUGCACAUCCCAAAUGCCUCCUCCUCUUUCCUUCUAGCUGAGUGGUGUUCCUCAAAUGCUCUGUGGAUCUCUGUGGGAUGGACUGCUUUUGUAAAUUUUUUGUAUGAUAGAAGUGCACUAAGAGGGCAAACCUAUUGUUUAAUGAGCUUAGAGAUGACUGCCAGGUCUGCACAGAUAUUGAAGAGAUUUUAGGGGUCUAUAAAAUAAAAACCAUGGUCCUGCUUUCAAUAUAUAUCACUGCUGAAACUGUCCUGGACCAAGGCUGAUGAUUUCACUCUGACUGUGAUUGUGGAGUGGUCUCCCUGGAGUAAUUCUCUUCAGCAGAGAUGCUUUUGUGAGGCAUUGGACUCUGGCUGCCUGGUCUGAAGUCUGCUUUCCCCUGCAGCCACCAGCAAUGAAAUGGAGUUGGUCCAUGUGUGGGAUGGUAAAAUCUGCAAGGGAGUGUUAUGUUUUCCACAUUUUCAAAAGUACUUUCCACCCAUCCAAAGAGUUUACAGAAAUAACCUGCUGCAAAAUUUUAAAAAAGCAGCAAGCCUUUGUAUUGUGUGGAAAAGUUAAACUUACUGGGAGCUAGACCACAUAGUUUCCUUACAAUACUGCCUGGGUAGUGCAUUUCUGAAGCACUGUGAGUCAGUGGGGGCUGGACCUGCUCCUGUCCCCUCCCUGGGUGGCUGCAGCCAGCAGGGUGCAAUGAGGAGCAGGGGAGUAGCAGAACUGAAUUCUUCCUGACUAACUGCAGAAAAUCCAAGGAAUUCACCUGAGGAAUCAAGUGAGAGCUGAGGUUGCUUUGUACUCAUGCAACAUUGCUUUGAUGGUCCCAGUUCUGUGGGCCUGUACAUAAAACAAACACAAUGGGUAUCUAGCAGCUAAUUCUAGCCACAGAUACAAAAACUAGCACACCUCAGCUGCUAAUUCCUUGAAGGUAUGGGCUGCUUCUGAUGUAAAUAUGAGCAUGUGGCUUGCUCUGCAGAGACUAGCCACAAAAUUUUCAUUUUUAGUUACAUUUAGCUGAAGCAGACAAAAAUAAAAUCAGCAGAGGCAAAGAUGGAUCAGAAACUCACUGGAGCUACACUGAAGUUGUACCCUGCAUAAAUAGCCUCAGCAAACAAUAAUUAACACAGCCAGCAUGUUUCACUGUAUUGUUAGAGAGUAGAAACAGGGAUAAUCCCUUCUGAAUUGUAAUGUAAUGCCAUACAUAAUGAUAAGGUUUUCUUUCUUUGGACUACUAGUUUUGUUUUCCAUGAUGGAAUGUCUUCAGAGAGUUUAAAUGAACUGUUUGCAAUGAAACUGGAUGCUUCCCCCAGCAUGUAAUAAUCAAAACCAAAUGAGAUUUUAAUUAAUAAUUGAAUAAAUCCUUAGUGAGUUUUUGAAAUAGAAGGCAUGCUCUACAUCUGCAUGAUGCCAAGAGAUCUGUGAGAAUACUGAGCUGUUUCUGAUUAGGAAGCUGAGAAAUUUCCCUUGAACCCAGACAAAUGAUGGUGGACUGAGUUCUUCUCUUAAGCCUACCCUUAGUGCACAGACCUGGAAUUUUUCAGCUGUCCUAAAGCAGAAAUGUAAAUUCAGUGCAGCUUUGGUGAGCAGAAUACUGUUCUUUGUCAGUAGCUGAUUUCUGUUCCACCCUUGAUGAGACUAAAUAUAAAGCAGUAAAAAACCAAGCCCAAACCUGUCAGAGGCUUUGUCCUGUCCCAUUCACCUUGGAGGAGCUCAUCUAGUGUUUUACUAUGUUAGAGAUGUCCUCUGCAAUCAGAAUAGUCCUCAGGACCCCUGAUGUUCAACAAGUUGUCUCGAAGCUGCUGUUUGCUACAACACUGUCCAAGCCACCUACCAGAGGACCCCAGAAAUGUCAUGAAUAAAGGUCCAAGAGAAACUCUUUAUGAAAAAGAAUGUGCUGGAAUUAAGCAAACCCAAAAUCUAAAUCUUUGUACACUCUUUUCCUUCAAUAUAGAGCAAUUUCAAUGUAGAUGCAGCCCAUAUCUGGCUGUGAAAUUGACUUUUCUAUUUAAAUACAUGGUCCAGUCUGUGAGCACCUGAGGUGAAAGGCACCAGGCCUCCAGGAGAUGGGGCACCAAGUGCUCAGAGAGGAACAUUUUACUGUGUUCAGUCUAUAGUGAUGUGUGACUGCAUCAAGUCCCACCUUGAAACCAGCUCAGUGGCUUGUCCUCACUUUUCUAGUUGGAAUCAGCCCCAAACCUCACUGCUCUUGUCCCAAGAAUCUUUCUGGUGGACCUUUGUUAUUUUUUGCUCAGUAGCCUUACUGACCUGAAGGUGCCCUGUGAGGCUGUACACUCUGGAAAUCCCAGAUUUCCUGCUCUGCCGCCUUCUAGUGCAAAUUCACCUUAGCUGAACACAGAUGGGCAUGGUUACAUAGUACAGCCCUAUCUGCUGAAAAUCUCACUCCUGAGGCCCCUGUCAAUUAUCUUCCCCUUUCAUGGCCUUAGGAAGGGCUCACAGUUGUCCUUUGUUGACUGUUUUUGUUUCUUGCCUCUCUCUUCUGCCUUUGAUCUCUACACUAUUCCAACUUCACAGUGUUUCUUUUUGCUGUAGCUUUUCAUGUCAUCCCAUGCUUCUUCUAUAAGCUUGUCUCUGUGAAAUAUAAAAUAUUUACUGGCGAAAGAAAAAGGACAAUAUUUUAUCUGUAAGACUUAGUCCACAUAGUCUCUGCAUCCAUUUAAAGAAACUUUGCUGAUUUCAGCAUUAGGCAAAUACAUAAAUACAAACCAUUCCAGGACAGAGGUCUGCACACCACCAAGUUAAUGUUUUAUUUGGCCACAUUUCUAAAUUAUCAGGAAAAUGGGACAAGAAUUGCAAGCAUACACCUGUCUUCCAGCUUUUCUUGUCCUUAUGAGUCAGUCUUGGUAUCGGACAAACUCGUUACUCAACGCUCUCUGCUGUUGCAGUGGGGCAGUUCUGAGCAGGAAUGUGGUACAGCCUUUGCUGGUAUCACUUUUUACCUUGCAAGAAUCACAGCUGUGGUAAGUGGAAGAUUUUUUUCCCCCAGUAAUAAAAAUCUGAAAAUAAAGAAGGUUGAUGGAUUACUUUGAGACAGGCUGUAUUUUGAGGACAAAAAGCAAAUAAAAGGAAUAGAAGCACUGGAAUGUCAAUAGUAAAUAGCCUUACAGUACAUGCUGUCUCUGAGUGUGCAUGUUUGAUUAUUGCAGCCAGCUUCCCUGUAGCUUUCUGGAGCAUCUAGCUGAACCCUUAGACUCAUCUGGAGAAGUUUGCUGUCCAUGCAGCUUUGCCAACAGCAGCAGAACACUCCAUGUACUCAGAAAUAAUUCUGAUUCUGGGAAUCUAGUAUAAGCUCUCUGGGAACUUACGACCAGAAAAUGUUAAAAUUUUCAUUGACCUCAACUUGCAACAGUGUUUGAUCAAAAAAUUGGGGCAAGAUAAGUAAUAUAGAAGCAACAAAGCCUAAAUGAGUUAUCUAUUGCAGAGGAUUUACUGAAAGGACAAACAAGAAUCUGCUAGUGAGUCAGUAACAGGACUUUGAACUCUGAUAACUUAUUUUAGAAUCAGUAAGAGUAUGCACAGAGGCCUUUUGUGAAAAAGGGCAGGUUUACAAAUAUAUUCUUCACCUAAACACAUAUCAAAAUGUAUCAGAAAAGCUGUGUGGACACUGCAGAAUCUCAGCACCACUGAAUGCUCACUCCUGGAGUGAAGGGCAGGAUCCAUUAACUGUGGACAAUUCCUGCAGUCCCUAGGUCCUCUUUAUCAGUAGAUCCCUGCAAGCUGGACAGUUUCCCAGGUUUCUUCACUGUUCCAGCUCUGCAGUGGUUCAGUGGGACACUGGAGGACUCACCCCUCAGCUUCAGUCACUGGCAGCCUCUCCCUUUAAUUAUUCAUAAAAUUCUAAACAAGACUAAAUUUUUUUUCUUGAAUUUUCCAGCUGCAUUCCAUUUUAACACCACUCUUUUCCUUCACAUAUCUGCGGUACAUACUUGCUUUUAUCCUCCCAAAGCUUCUACACAAACAAGGAGGAAAAAAACCCAUUAAAGGGAAGGUGUGCCUGAUAAUUCAAUUACCUGCUCACCACCAGUGAGCCAGGAGGGCCAAUUUAUGCUGACUCCAGUCAAUCCUCCUCUCCAGUGAUCUCUGCAGAAAACUUCCACAAUCUCAAGGAGCAGGGAGUAUGGCAGGCAGGAGAUGGGAAGCUUGGGACCAGUGUACCCAUAGCCCAGCUUGUAGCCAGAAACAGGGACAGUGCCACAAUGGAGCCAGGAUUUGUGAAGGGCAAGCCAGCAGUCUGCUGGUUGUGCUCCUGCUAAUCAUCCUCAGACACAUCUUUCUCCAGUUAUUGGGUGAGCUCAAAUGUGGGUGUUAGCACAGGGAGAAGGGAUUUGAAACAAGUUUAGCUGUCUGUCAUCCCAGGAGAGAGAGGGGUUACUAUAAGAGCUCCACACACUCAGUGUGUUUCUGCAACGUUCAGAAAUACUCCGUGUUUGGCGUGAAGUAGAACAUCUUAAUACAUUGCACCAAAACAGUUUAUUUGGAGAGUGACUUUUAGCCUUGAAACAAGGUACUUUCUGAUAAGUAUGAUUUUGAUUCCCAUAAAAAUCACUAACUCCCUUUCUAUUUUUCCCACUCACCUAAUCUAGGUACACUUGUCUGUAAUCCCAAAAUACAAAGACCUUUUGUCUUUUCAGGUGCACAAAGGAUGGACAAUGUGGUGGGAGCACAGCACGUAUCUCUCACCCUUGUGCAAGAGACAUAAGGCUGGGCACAAUCCCAUGCUUGCUGCCACAAACACCACAUUGUUUGGGGUGGGAAAACAAAAGUGUCUUGAUGUGAUAUGCUGUGAUGUCAUUUUGCUGGGCUGCUGGAUCGCGUGGUUCAGGCACCCCAGUUUCUGUACACCAGGGGUGGUGGAAAUCAGCAGGGUAAACUGAGCUAUGGAUAGCAGCUCUGUUUCAAGGCAUGCUGGAGACUGUGCCACAGAAAUGAGGAAAAAGCAUGUUAUUUAGUCUAUUUCCAUAGAAAGGGCUUCUGCCCUGUCUGGGAGAAGGUGCCACUUUACACAGCCUGUGUCUGAAUCCCACAGUGAGGUUUAAUAGCUCUUUCUUGUGCUUUGUCUGGAGUGCCUUGCUAUUUUGGGGGCAUCUGUUACAUUUUCAUAGGAUGUGACAAGUUAAUUUAUUUUUAGUAGCUGUUGUUUUAGUAAUGGUAAUGUGAUCAUACAAAAAUCCACGAAUUUACUUUCUGAACACUCCUUAGCAUUUGGUAAGGUAAACCUUACAGCAACUGCUGCCUUCCUCCCAGGAAAACACUUCUCAAGAGCCUCUAACGAGCUCUUUAAGGUUUAUUUCUUGUGUCAGGUUUUCACACAGACAAAGUCACUUCGUACAACACACCAACCUCUCUGCUUAAUUUGACUGGGAAAGUUAAAAUAGGCAGGUUAUAUAAUGAUGUUUAUCUUUACAUCAGGAAGUCAACUAAGAAGCUGUUAAGCUGAUAUUAUAUAACACAGCCCUGAUUAUAGAAAGUGUGGAGGAAGAUGGUCUAGGUUUAUGCAUGUUAUAUUGGUAAUUGUUAUUGGUAAUUGUUAACAAUUAUAAUUAAUAUUGUUUUGUAUGCUUUUGCUUUUGAUGUUUUACAGCCUUCCAGAAGAUGUUGGAGCAUUAGUAGCCUGGCACUGAAUUUUGUUUAUAAAAAUAGUAAUUGUACUCUUCUAUAUGUUAGGUACAUAUAUUUAAAUAAAACAGUCUAAAUAAGGAAAUAGAAGUCUCAUAUUUCUUAUAACGCUCUAGUUCCUGAGGUUGCUGGGGUAGUAAAACUCACUCUUUUAUAGGAUUGUGAACUCUUCCAAACCCAAUAGACAAAUCUUAUUAUGAGAGCAAAAGAAAGAGGUUUGCUGUAUACACAUGGCAUACAAUCCCUAACUGAACAUGAGCUCAAACAACAUCAGCACCUACAAACUGCACAAUGAUAGGGGGGAAAAAUAGUCUUUUAGACAAAAAGAAGUCCAGUUUUCUCUUACUCUCCCUGUAAACAGGAACACGUUCAUCUACCAGCAAUGCCCAGCUGGACUCUCUGAUGUUAAGAAUAAAGACAUCCUUGUGUUCUGAUGGAGAUCAAAUUAACCUAAGACAAGUUUCAGCUAUGAGGACAAACUGGAUAUACAGUUCACAAAUGAAAAUUAUGAAGAUUGUAUUACUGGGGAAACUGACUUUUCUAUAUUAAAAAAAAAGAUUAAAAUUAAAUAAGCAGAGAUGUGUAAGAGGAUCCCAUAAGAAUUCCAUUGAGAAAGCUUAAUUAAAUUUGCUGAACAGUGAUUUUUAAAAAUAAAACUUUGAUUUUUAACAACUGAAGAUCAGAUCCUUCCCAAUGUAAUAGGCAGCAACUUAUUUUACCCGUGAGAGUGGAGAUGAUAGACAAAAGUGAGCUGGUAUUUCAGCUGUUAGCAGUACCUAUGACAGGCACGUGGCUCAUUGGGUUGUGUGACAGACUAAGUGCAGACUGUAUUGGAAAGAGUAGCUUCAGUCUUUAGAGGCCUCAUGAAAAUUUUCCAUAUAUAAUAGCUUUUUCAGGGAAAAAAGGACACGUUACCAUUCCACGUUUUCAUUCAAGUAGAAUGCUUCUACAAGAAGUUGUUUGCAUCUCUUAUAACCCACAAAAUUACAGAUAAUAACAAAAAGGUGCUCUUGGAAAAGACAGCUCCUGGAAAGUAAGGCUGUGGCACACGAUCCAAGCUUAUCAGACAUCAGAGAAUCCAGAUGAGUGGAGGCAUAAUGAGCAAGCUAACUUCAGUCAGGCUUCAUUCUUUGUUAGGCAGGGGAAAUGAGGCUUCAUUAGUUUCAUUGCUUCCCCAGUUAGUUGGGGAGUUUGCAAGGAAGCGAAAGCUUUUCUGCAGCUGUCAGAGAUCCUUUCAUGAGCAUCAACUCCCAGUUCUGAAUGAAUAAGAGAAAUCAUCUGCUUUGUAUGGUGACUGCUAGUAGUAUAUGGUGACUUUGGGCACUAAGUCUGACAAUUAGGAGAGCACCAAUUUUAUUGUUCUUGUGUUUUCUUACAUUGGUAAGCCUAACAUAAAAAAAAGUCUCGAGUUUUACUCUCAUUAUUCUUCAACAGUCAGCAUUUAUUUUUACUAAAAUUAAUACUACAAUUAUAUUAUUCUAGAAAUAUUCCACAUUAUAUACCAGUGUCCAUAUUCAAUUAUGAACAGAUGUACUUGUAUUUAUUUAAUCUAUUCCACCUUCUGUUGUAAAGGACUUUGUCUCAGCUUGCAACUACUGUAUUUUUUUGGCCAUACUAAUAACUGUAAAUUCUUGCCAUGUGAUGAUGUCUGCAGUCCUUUUUUUCUUGGCGUUCUUGUGUUGAUUGACAUUGUGUGCGAAUCUAGGCAAUGUUUUUGAAGUCUCCUGUUCUCAGUUCACGAUACCUCUGCAGUUACUGUGUGGGACAUCAUGUGCAGCACAUCCACUGCCACUGCCCGUUGGAGAAGCCCACGUUGUCAGCUGGCUCCAGUGGGACUUGGGGGUUCACCGGGUAGCUGGCACGAAGUCAAACCCCUCCAUGUCCUGCUGCCCUGCCUGUGGCCAAACUGUGACUGCCUCAAAACGUAAGAAGUCUGACAGCAUUCUUGUUCCCUGUGUGCCAGCUGACCAAGUGAUGUUUCCAAAGCAGAAAGAGCCAUUUUUAAAGUGGCAGCUGGAGUGCUUCGAGGAGUAGGAGCUGGUGUAGGAUCAGGUACAAAUCUGUGGCAGGGCUCACUACUAUCAUCACUUGCCAGAGCAGGCAGCUGCCAACAAGUUCUGGCAUAGUUUCCCUAAGUGGGAAAACAUAGUUUCUGUUUCACUAGAGUUUAUGAAGCUGGGGUUCUUAGGCUCUGACACAAGGCUGCUUUUUCCCCAUGUACAAAUGGCAUGGGCUAGGAUCAGCUGGCUGUUACAGAAGGUUUUCCAGGGAAAAAGCUUGUGCUGUGCUGGCCUCCCUGCUGCCAAAAGCUGCCUGGUCCUGUAUCACACAUCCCCCUAGGCAGUACGUGUGCUGUAACAAGCUGCCUGUCCCUGCCAGAGACCAUCCCAGGCAGAACACCCCAGACACGCUCCUGGCAGCAGCUGCAAAGGGGAUUUUAAAGGGAAAUCUGAGGGCAGUGAGGAGAGGCCAUUGGUCACAUCCUCAGAUGCAUCUGAGGACUAAAGUGGCAAUGGGCCUUGUGUAAUUGCCCUGGAGUUCCUGUGCCAAGGGUCAUUUUGGAGCACAGCCAGGGCAUGUUAAGCACAGCAUAAUGCUGACUUCUAUACUGCCCACAUCAGUCACAACUUAACUACAAGCUUUUCUGUAUGCUGCCUGUAGUGGUUUGAUUUAAAUAGUGUUGUUCAAGUUGUGGCACAAAUGAUGCUCUGGUUCACACUCAGUUUUCCCUUCCUCCAAGGGAACUACACAAUUUCCUGAAAGCUGGAGCCUGAAAAAGAUGAUGUGUAACACAGGACAAUUUGCAGCACUGGCUCUAGCUGCAAUGUUGCUGGUAAAAAAGUAAUUUGCCAUUCACAGGGUAUUUUCUAUGUGUGCUGGAAUUUCAAGCCCACUUUUCAUACUGAAGUUUAAUACUGUGCUUUCUGGUUCAACUGCUUUCAAUCAGCAAAUACACUCCUAGAACAGAAACAGAAGUGCCGGGAACCAAUGUCGUUCUCUGAGGUACAAUAAAGCUCACCUAAUUGCUUCCUGACUUGCUGAUCCAUCAUCCUGACCCCCUCUUUGAUGUUUUCUUUUUUUUUUUUUCCUAGAGCAUUAGUAACAAGUGAGAAAUGCUGUCUCAGGGUGUUAUAUAUGGGAUUAUUUCUCUAUUCCCAGCACACUGACCGUAUGUAAUGGGAUUAUCUCUUAUUUAAAAUAAAAAAGACUUGGAAACAUCAAAUACUGUGUAUGAAAAAGUAGUUUCUGGUGGUUCCUUUAACAGUAAAAAAAAACUUUUAUUUUUUGUUUUGUAAUAAUACAUUUUUGUCAGUCAGCAAAACCAACCAAAAUGCUGCAGAUGUUUCUUUUCUGCUAGCUAAAUUUAGAUUGUUUUUCCUCUUCUUCUGUAUAUAUAUUCCUCUGACAUCAAGAGGGCUAUUGCCCCUUUACAGCACAUUUAUUGCUGUUGUAAACACUGAAAACUGAUGAGGCCAGAUGAUGGAGGCUUCUGCCAAUGUCCCUUCUUAGGCUGCUUUCAUUUCAAAAUAUCUGAACUGGUACCAGCUGGUGCCAAAAUUCUGAGAUAUGAAAAUACAACAAGAAAGGAAGAAAAUGGGCAAUGUGUGUCAGCACUAAAUGUAUGUUCUGCUUGCUUCAAUGAGAUGUGUGAACACUGUCACAGUACAUAGCUUUGGGAGCAGGACAAACUUCUGGCACAAAUCAAAUAACAAAACACAGGACUAGUGGGGAGGGAAAAGAGAGAGGCCUUGUCUAGAUCUGGGUUAGAUCUGUCAUGGUUUAAGUUUCCUUAAGAUUAGGUCUUGGCCAAAGAGAAACCUAGUUCUGAUUUUUAGACUUCAAAUUUGUGAGAGUUGCCCAGAGACUCUUUUUAGGUUCUUUGGAUAAGUUAUUGAACAUUUUCAGUUGUGCUUAAAUCUAAAAAGUGUAAAUGGAAAUGUGAGCUUGGAUUAAAAAAAAAAAAAUAAA